GAUGAACGCUGGCGGCGUGCCUAAUACAUGCAAGUCGAGCGAACGGACGAGAAGCUUGCUUCUCUGAUGUUAGCGGCGGACGGGUGAGUAACACGUGGAUAACCUACCUAUAAGACUGGGAUAACUUCGGGAAACCGGAGCUAAUACCGGAUGAUAUUUUGAACCGCAUGGUUCAAAAGUGAAAGACGGUCUUGCUGUCACUUAUAGAUGGAUCCGCGCUGCAUUAGCUAGUUGGUAAGGUAACGGCUUACCAAGGCAACGAUGCAUAGCCGACCUGAGAGGGUGAUCGGCCACACUGCAACUGAGACACGGUCCAGACUCCUACGGGAGGCAGCAGUAGGGAAUCUUCCGCAAUGGGCGAAAGCCUGACGGAGCAACGCCGCGUGAGUGAUGAAGGUCUUCGGAUCGUAAAACUCUGUUAUUAGGGAAGAACAUAUGUGUAAGUAACUGUGCACAUCUUGACGGUACCUAAUCAGAAAGCCACGGCUAACUACGUG
rnacentral:rRNA from 1 species